rnacentral:rRNA from 1 species
AGAGCGAACGCUGGCGGCAGGCUUAACACAUGCAAGUCGAGCGCCCCGCAAGGGGAGCGGCAGACGGGAGAGUAACACGCGGGAACGUACCUUUCGGUUCGGAACAACCCAGGGAAACUUGGGCUAAUACCGGAUACGUCCGUAAGGAGAAAGAUUUAUCGCCGAAAGAUCGGCCCGCGUCUGAUUAGCUAGUUGGUGAGGUAACGGCUCACCAAGGCGACGAUUAGUAGCUGGUCUGAGAGGAUGAUCAGCCUCACUGGGACUGAGACACGGCCCAGACUCCUACGGGAGGCAGCAGUGGGGAAUAUUGGACAAUGGGCGCAAGCCUGAUCCAGCCAUGCCGCGUGGGUGAUGAAGGCCCUAGGGUUGUAAAGCCCUUUCGGCGGGGAAGAUAAUGACGGUACCCGCAGAAGAAGCCCCGGCUAACUUCGUGCCAGCAGCC